rnacentral:rRNA from 1 species
UACGAAGGGGGCGAGCGUUGUUCGGAUUUACUGGGCGUAAAGGGCGCGCAGGCGGCUCAUUUUGUCAGGCGUGAAAGCCCCGGGCUUAACCUGGGAGGUGCGUUUGAUACGGAUGGGCUAGAGUUCGGGAGAGGAGAGUGGAAUUCCCAGUGUAGAGGUGAAAUGCGUAGAUAUUGGGAGGAACACCAGUGGCGAAGGCGGCUACCUGGACCGGUUCUGACGCUGAGGCGCGAAAGCGUGGGUAGCAAACAGG